rnacentral:rRNA from 1 species
UUGGAAAUGCUAGUCUAAGCGUUUAGGGAGUUACGGUAGGCAAAUCCGCUGUAACAAUUCUGAGGCGUGAUGGGGAAGGUCAUAUAGGCCGAAGUACAUGAUUCCAAGAAAAGCAUCUAGAGAGAGAAGUAGUGCCCGUACCGCAAACCGACACAGGUAGAUGAGGAGAGAAUCCUAAGGCCGGCGGAAGAAUUGCAGUUAAGGAACUAGGCAAAUUGACCCCGUAAGUUCGCGAGAAGGGGUGCCUGCGAGAGCAGGCCGCAGAGAAUAGGCCCAAGCAACUGUUUAGCGAAAACACAGGUCUCUGCUAAAGCGUAAGCUGAUGUAUAGGGGCUGACGCCUGCCCGGUGCUGGAAGGUUAAGGGGAACACUUAGCGCAAGCGAAGGUGUGAACUUAAGCCCCAGUAAACGGCGGCCGUAACAAUAACGGUCCUAAGGUAGCGAAAUUCCUUGUCAGGUAAGUUCUGACCCGCACGAAUGGCGUAAUGACUUGGGCACUGUCUCAGCUGCAAAUCCGGCGAAGUUGUAGUGCGAGUGAAGAUGCUCGCUACCCGCGAUUGGACGGAAAGACCCCGUAGAGCUUUACUGUAGCUUAGCAUUGAAUUCCGGUAUUGUCUGUACAGGAUAGGUGGGAGACUGGGAAACUAGGGCGUCAGCCUUAGUGGAGUCAACCUUGGGAUACCACCCUGACAGUACUGGGGUUCUAACAGGACGCCAUGAAUCUGGUGACUGGACAUUGUUAGGUGGGCAGUUUGACUGGGGCGGUCGCCUCCUAAAAAGUAACGGAGGCGCCCAAAGGUUCCCUCAGAACGGUCGGAAAUCGUUCGUAGAGUGCAAAGGCAGAAGGGAGCCUGACUGCGAGACAUACAAGUCGAGCAGGGACGAAAGUCGGGCUUAGUGAUCCGGUGGUACCUCGUGGGAGGGCCAUCGCUCAACGGAUAAAAGCUACCUCGGGGAUAACAGGCUGAUCUCCCCCAAGAGUCCACAUCGACGGGGAGGUUUGGCACCUCGAUGUCGGCUCGUCGCAUCCUGGGGCUGUAGUAGGUCCCAAGGGUUGGGCUGUUCGCCCAUUAAAGCGGCACGCGAGCUGGGUUCAGAACGUCGUGAGACAGUUCGGUCCCUAUCCGUCGCGGGCGUAGGAAAUUUGAGAGGAGCUGUCCUUAGUACGAGAGGACCGGGAUGGACUGACCUCUGGUGCACCAGUUGUUCCGCCAGGAGCAUGGCUGGGUAGCUAAGUCGGGAAGGGAUAAACGCUGAGAGCAUCUAAGCGUGAAGCCUCCCUCAAGAUGAGAUUUCCCAUAGCAUAAGCUAGUAAGACCCCUUGAAGAACACAAGGUUGAUAGGUCAGAGGUGUAAGUGCGGUAACGUAUUUAGCUGA